AAGCCUAACACAUGCAGUCGAACGGUACAGGAAGCAGCUUGCUGCUUUGCUGACGAGUGGCGGACGGGUGAGUAAUGUCUGGGAAACUGCCUGAUGGAGGGGGAUACUACUGGAAACGGUAGCUAAUACCGCAUAGCGUCGCAAGACCAAAGAGGGGGACCUUCGGGCCUCUUGCCAUCGGAUGUGCCCAGAUGGAUUAGCUAGUAAGUGGGGUAACGGCUCACCUAGCGACGAUCCCUAGCUGGUCUGAAGGAUG
rnacentral:rRNA from 1 species